rnacentral:rRNA from 1 species
UACGUAGGGGGGCGAGCGUUGUCCGGAUUUAUUGGGCGUAAAGAGCGUGUAGGCGGCCAGGUAGGUCUGCUGUGAAAACUCGAGGCUCAACCUCGAGACGUCGGCGGAAACCAUCUGGCUAGAGUCCGGAAGAGGAGAGUGGAAUUCCUGGUGUAGCGGUGAAAUGCGCAGAUAUCAGGAAGAACACCCGUGGCGAAGGCGGCUCUCUGGGACGGUACUGACGCUGAGACGCGAAAGCGUGGGAGCAAACAGG